GCAGUCGACGGUGCUCGCAAGAGCACAGUGGCGCACGGGUGAGGAACACGUAGCUCAUCUGCCUUCAAGCGUGGGAUAACGGUCCGAAAGGAUUGCUAAUACCGCAUAAGCUCCCGGACUGUAGAGGCUUGGGAGAAAAGGAGCAAUCCGCUUGAAGAGGAGGCUGCGGCCCAUCAGGUAGUUGGUGCGGUAACGGCGCACCAAGCCAACGACGGGUAGGGGACCUGAGAGGGUGACCCCCCACACUGGGACUGAGACACGGCCCAGACUCCUACGGGAGGCAGCAGUGAGGAAUAUUGCCCAAUGGGCGCAAGCCUGAGGCAGCGACGCCGCGUGGGUGAAGAAGGCCUUCGGGUCGUAAAGCCCUUUUCUGUGUGACGAGAACGGACGGUAGCACAGGAAAAAGUCUCGGCUAACUACGUGCCAGCAGCCGCGGUAAAACGUAGGAGGCAAGCGUUAUCCGGAGUUACUGGGCGUAAAGCGUGCGUAGGCGGAUGGGUAAGUGGGUCGUGAAAGCGCCGGGCUAAACCGGGCGAGGACGAACUAGACUGCUCGUCUAGAGGCGGAUAGAGGGGUGCGGAAUUCCGGGUGUAGCGGUGAAAUGUGUAGAGAUCCGGAGGAACACCAGUGGUGCAAACGGCGCCCUGGGUCCGAACUGACGCUGAGGCACGAAAGCGUGGGGAGCGAACGGGAUUAGA
rnacentral:rRNA from 1 species